GACGAACGCUGGCGGCGUGCUUAACACAUGCAAGUCGAACGGAAAGGCCCUGCUUUUGUGGGGUGCUCGAGUGGCGAACGGGUGAGUAACACGUGAGUAACCUGCCCUUGACUUUGGGAUAACUUCAGGAAACUGGGGCUAAUACCGGAUAGGAGCUCCUGCUGCAUGGUGGGGGUGGGAAAGUUUCGGCGGUUGGGGAUGGACUCGCGGCUUUUCAGCUUGUUGGUGGGGUAGUGGCUUACCAAGGCUUUGACGGGUAGCCGGCCUGAGAGGGUGACCGGCCACGUUAGGACUGAGAUGCGGCCCAGACUCCUCCGGGAGGCAGCGGUGGGGAAUGGUGCACAAUGGGCGGAAGCCUGAUGUAGCAACGCCGCGUGCGGGAUGACGGCCUUCGGUUUGUAAACCGCUUUCGCCUGUGACGAAGCGUGAGUGACGGUAAUGGGUAAAGAAGCACCGGCUAACUACGUG
rnacentral:rRNA from 1 species